rnacentral:rRNA from 1 species
UACGAACUGUGCAAACGUUAUUCGGAAUCACUGGGCUUAAAGGGUGCGUAGGCGGCGCGGUAAGUCGGGUGUGAAAUCCCUCGGCUCAACCGAGGAACUGCGCCCAAAACUACCGUGCUCGAGGGAGAUAGAGGUGAGCGGAACUUAGGGUGGAGCGGUGAAAUGCGUUGAUAUCCUAAGGAACACCGGUGGCGAAAGCGGCUCACUGGAUCUCUUCUGACGCUGAGGCACGAAAGCUAGGGUAGCGAACGGG